GACGAACGCUGGCGGCGUGCUUAACACAUGCAAGUCGAACGGUAAGGCCCUUCGGGGUACACGAGUGGCGAACGGGUGAGUAACCCGUGGGUGAUCUGCCCUGUACUUCGGGAUAAGCCUGGGAAACUGGGUCUAAUACCGGAUAGGACCACUGCCUGCAUGGGUGGUGGUGGAAAGCUUUUGCGGUGUGGGAUGGGCCUGCGGCCUAUCAGCUUGUUGGUGGGGUGAUGGCCUACCAAGGCGACGACGGGUAGCCGGCCUGAGAGGGUGACCGGCCACACUGGGACUGAGAUACGGCCCAGACUCCUACGGGAGGCAGCAGUGGGGAAUAUUGCACAAUGGGCGCAAGCCUGAUGCAGCGACGCCGCGUGAGGGAUGACGGCCUUCGGGUUGUAAGCCUCUUUCAGCACCGACGAAGCGCAAGUGACGGUAGGUGCAGAAGAAGGACCGGCCAACUACGUGCCAGCAGCCGCAGUAA
rnacentral:rRNA from 1 species